CCGUGUUUCCUCCUCCCUCUCUCUCAUUAUCAUCCUCAGCCUCCACAUUGACCUCAGCAGUGACCCCUCCCCCCUCCUUCCCCCGUCCUCACUUCACCUCAGGGUCAGUGCGCCCCCCGUCCCUGUGGUCCCUCAGACUCCUCCCCUCUCCCCUGAGUCUCCUCCCCCCCUCCGUCAGUCAGUGUGGAUCAGUUUGAUCAGGUCUUCAGGAGACUCAGCUGGAUCCUGAUCUCUGAGAGUCUGAGUCUGUCCUCACUGAGGAGAAAGGAUCAACCAGAAGGACGAGAGGAAGAAAAGAAGGAGGAAAAGAGGAUUUAAAGAAGAAGAGGAACAGGAGAAACAGAAGAAGAAGAGUGAUUAUUUCUGUGUGAUGUUUCUGAUGGUUUGGAUUUAAAGAUGAAGAUGAUGUGGAGCUGGACGACGCUGCUGCUGCUGAUCUGCUGCUCAGUGAAAUGAUCCUUCAUCAUCAUCAUCAUCAUCAUCAUCAUCAUCAUCACCAUCAUCACCAUCACCACCUUCAUCAUUCAUCCUCUGACUCAGUGUGGGCGGAGCCUCAGAGCUGGCCUUCCUCAAAGAACCCGCUGAUGUCAUCGCAGUGAGGGACCGCCCCCUGCUGCUGGACUGUCAGGUAGAGGGGGAGGGGCCUAUCUCCAUC